rnacentral:tRNA from 1 species
GCUACUAUAGUUUAACAAAAACAUCGAACUGCAAAAUCGAAAAUGGAAAUGAACUUCCUAGUAGAU